rnacentral:rRNA from 1 species
GGGAAUCUUCCACAAUGGACGCAAGUCUGAUGGAGCAACGCCGCGUGAGUGAAGAAGGUUUUCGGACCGUAAAGCUCUGUUGUUGGUGAAGAAGGAUAGAGGUAGUAACUGGCCUUUAUUUGACGGUAAUCAACCAGAAAGUCACGGCUAACUACGUGCCAGCAGCCGCGGUAAUACGUAGGUGGCAAGCGUUGUCCGGAUUUAUUGGGCGUAAAGCGAGCGCAGGCGGAAGAAUAAGUCUGAUGUGAAAGCCCUCGGCUUAACCGAGGAAUUGCAUCGGAAACUGUUUUCUUGAGUGCAGAAGAGGAGAGUAGAACUCCAUGUGUAGCGGUGGAAUGCGUAGAUAUAUGGAAGAAUACCAGUGGCGAAGGCGGCUCUCUGGUCUGCAACUGACGCUGAGGCUCGAAAGCAUGGGUAGCGAACAGGAUUAGAUACCCUGGUAGUCCAUGCCGUAAACGAUGAGUGCUAAGUGUUGGGAGGCUUCCGCCUCUCAGUGCUGCAGCUAACGCAUUAAGCACUCCGCCUGGGGGAGUACGACCGCAAGGUUGAA